CAAAAAUGUAAACGCAAGAGGCGCAAAACGGCGGGACUCUUCUGUAUACAAGCUACAGCGCGUGAGGCAGUGCAGCGCCAUCCAGCCGUGAAGCCAUUUGGCGGUGAGGAGGAAGAGAGGGGCCAGCUGAAGCAGACCGUGAUGAAGUGACGUUCGACUGAUGUUUCCUGAAAGUGGCAACAUGUGUCCCUCUUACCCGGCUGCUGCAGUCCUCUCGUCUACAGAUGUGUCGCUUGAUGUACCCAUCGAAUGGCACACUGCCUCUUAAUAAAAUAUCACUCUUGCUUUGACAGCGAAG